rnacentral:snoRNA from 1 species
AGAUCAUUUCAAAGAAGGCUUCUAAGGCCAUGAAACUAAGAGCUUAAUGCUGUUGUAACCAAAGGUUAAAGGAUGACAUUUACUACACAGCCCUCUAUUUUCCUGAAGGGAGAUAAUG